ACUUAAAUUGAAGAGUUUGAUCAUGGCUCAGAUUGAACGCUGGCGGCAGGCCUAACACAUGCAAGUCGAACGGUAACAGGAAGCAGCUUGCUGCUUUGCUGACGAGUGGCGGACGGGUGAGUAAUGUCUGGGAAACUGCCUGAUGGAGGGGGAUAACUACUGGAAACGGUGGCUAAU
rnacentral:rRNA from 1 species